CGCCGGAAAUCUUACCGGGACCGACAGCAAUAUGAAGGCCAGGCUGAAGACUUUGCCGGAUUAGCUGAGAGGUGGUGCAUGGCCGUCGUCAGUUCGUACUGUGAAGCAUCCUGUUAAGUCAGGCAACGAGCGAGACCCACGCCCACAGUUGCCAGCGUACUCUCUGGAGUGACGGGUACACUGUGGGACCGCCGCUGCUAAAGCGGAGGAAGGAAUGGGCAACGGUAGGUCAGUAUGCCCCGAAUAUCCCGGGCUACACGCGAGCUACAAUGGUUGGUACAAUGGGUAUCUACCCCGAAAGGGGACGGGAAUCUCCUAAAACCAAUCUUAGUUCGGAUUGAGGGCUGCAACUCGCCCUCAUGAAGCUGGAAUCCGUAGUAAUCGCGUUUCAACAGAACGCGGUGAAUACGUCCCUGCUCCUU
rnacentral:rRNA from 1 species